rnacentral:rRNA from 1 species
GACGAACGCUGGCGGCGUGCUUAACACAUGCAAGUCGAACGAUGAAGCUGGAGCUUGCUCCGGUGGAUUAGUGGCGAACGGGUGAGUAACACGUGAGAAAUCUGCCCUUGACUCUGGGAUAACUGCGGGAAACUGUAGCUAAUACCGGAUAUUUUCCUUGGUGGGCAUCCACUGGGGAAGAAAGAAUUUCGGUCAUGGAUGAUCUCGCGGCCUAUCAGCUAGUUGGUGAGGUAAUGGCUCACCAAGGCGACGACGGGUAGCCGGCCUGAGAGGGUGACCGGCCACACUGGGACUGAGACACGGCCCAGACUCCUACGGGAGGCAGCAGUGGGGAAUAUUGCACAAUGGGCGCAAGCCUGAUGCAGCAACGCCGCGUGAGGGAUGAAGGCCUUCGGGUUGUAAACCUCUUUUAGCAGGGAAGAAGCGAAAGUGACGGUACCUGCAGAAAAAGCACCGGCUAACUACGUGCCAGCAGCCGCAGUAA